ACUCUUCUCUAUUCUCCUAUCUUUUUCAUCAUCUUCUUCUCAACUGCUUCUAUAAUAUUUGGACGGUUAGCUGCUCCUAUAUUUUGCCCAUGGAACCUGUUAUUGUGUAGGUAGAAGUGUGUGUGUAUUUUCCUUUAGAUGGAUAAAAUUCUUAAAAAGUUCUUGGUUUUGAAUUUAUGGUAUACAAUGCUGUAAGAUGUUAAGACUUUCAUGCACAAAAGCUCUUGUUCUUGGUGUUUACAUCUCUGUAUAAGUUGAUUUUAUGUUCGUGCAUAGUAGCCAUUUAAGCAUUUUGGUCAUUCUAUAGAAUCCUCUGCCUGUGGGCUACUGUUGAGGGAGUGAGGGAAAGGAGUUACACAUAAGGAAAUACUUUGUUGAUGUUUCUUUAUGGAGUUUGUAGAUUGACCAAUCAUUCAUGCUUCUUGGUUUUGUAUUGGGUUUCAUCCCCUUACAUAUUAAUGUAAAAGAGCCCUUGAGCUUUCCUAGCAUAGCAAAAGAAUAAGGAGGAUCAAUUAACCAUUGAUUUGUACCCUUGAAGUUCUCACUAUAUUCAAGUUGUGAACUCAGUAUUGGAAAUGGUUUUUAGAUUGAGAAACAUGUAAGUUGUAGAUUCAGUAUUCCAAUGAGUGGAUAGGACAUUGUAUUGUAUGUGUGAUGUGAUUGGCUAGAAUUCAAUAGGGUGGUUCUUCAGAUUGCAGCUAGAUUUGAUGCGGUGCUGGUGCUGAUGAUUUAAAGAAGUGUUCAAUUCCAUAUCUUAUUGUGGGAUGAUAGGGUUUAUCGUCUGGAAUGCAUUGCCUCAUCU